UACAGAGGGGGCCAGCGUUAUUCGGAAUUACUGGGCGUAAAGCGCGUGUAGGCGGCUAAGUAAGUCGGGCGUGAAAUCCCACGGCUCAACCGUGGAAGUGCACUCGAAACUGCAUAGCUAGAGUCCUGGAGAGGAAGGUGGAAUGCUUGGUGUAGAGGUGAAAUUCGUAGAUAUCAAGCGGAACACCGGUGGCGAAGGCGGCCUUCUGGACAGUGACUGACGCUGAGACGCGAAAGCGUGGGGAGCAAACAGG
rnacentral:rRNA from 1 species